AACGUAGGUGGCGAGCGUUAUCCGGAUUUACUGGGUUUAAAGGGUGCGUAGGUGGGUAGGUAAGUCAGUGGUGAAAUCUUCGAGCUUAACUCGGAAACUGCCAUUGAUACUAUUUAUCUUGAAUACUCUGGAGGUAAGCGGAAUAUGUCAUGUAGCGGUGAAAUGCUUAGAUAUGACAUAGAACACCAAUUGCGAAGGCAGCUUACUACAUAGUUAUUGACACUGAGGCACGAAAGCGUGGGGAUCAAACAGG
rnacentral:rRNA from 1 species